AGCCCGGUAGUGUAGAGGUCAAGCAUAAGGGCCUUUGGAGCCUUAGACCCCAGUUCGAAUCUGGGCCGGGCUA
rnacentral:tRNA from 1 species